GGAGCAGACAACUGUAACAGGCAUUUUGUAAGAAUUAUGGCUCUUUUUCCACUUAGAAUAUGCAUACUAUUGAUAAAUCUAUGUUAAAGUUUGCGUACCACAUCAAAUAAUUUCUAUGUUCAUUGUAAUAUUGCUUUUAUAUUUUUCAUACAUCUUGACCAACAUGACCACAAUCUAUAAUCAAGAGCAGACAACCAUAUCAAGCAUUUUGACCCCAUACAAUCACACAUCUUUACACAGCUGAACAACUACAGGCCUUCUGGACAUCCAAGGACAAUGCCUUGGUAAAGGUGUCAAGCUCUUGGGUCAGGAAUUUUGGGUAAAGCUCCUACCCCCAGGGUACAGCCAGUCUAUCCAUGGAACUCCAAACUUCCCUGCUCAGGGGCCAAGACUACCUCAUCUACAAGGGACCUUAUCCUCACAAGUUCAGUCCCAGAGAAAAAUGUUACCCAACUGCAACACAGGCAAUACAUCUCAACAGGUAAGUCCCAGUAAUAGUUUGUUAUCCCCCGCCAUAGGCGGAGGGAUAUUGUAUUGGCGUUGUCUGUCCAUCCGUCUUUCCGUCCGUCCUUCAGUCCAUCUGGCACUUUUGUGUCUGGAGCUAUAUCUUGGAAGUGCUUUGGUUGAUUUCAUUGAAAUUUGGUAUGAGUAUGUAUAUGGAUAAGAGGAUGAUGCACCCCAAAUGGGCAUUGUACACUAUUUGUUAAUAAUGGAGUUAUGACCCUUUGUAUCUUGAAAAAAAUGCUUUAUAAUAUAAGCUUAGGGCUGCAUCUUUAUUUAACACAUGAGCCAGAGCCAUGAAACUUGCCAUAGUUGUUGCCAAUCAUCUGGAGGUGCUUCACAUUCAACACUUAUAAUGCUAGGGGCUAAGGUCAAGGUCACACAUUAUUUAGUCAUUUCUUUACUAUGCAUCAAGGGAUUCUGUAAUAACUGUCCAAUUGUUCUCCAGUAUCUAGCUGAGUGUCAAAUAUAAGAUCCAGGUUGCUAGGCGCGUGGUCAAAGUCACACACAAAGAUCAAAAUCACACAUUUUGAUUAAAUAUGCCUUAUUUGGUAAGGAUUCUGCCAUACUAAAUUGAUUCACAAAAUGGCCUGAUGUAAUUGUCCUCAAAUAUCAGGCAGUGCAAGACCUAUGCGUUUGUGACCCAAGUCAAGGUCACACAUCAAAGGUCACACAUUUGUAGAAAUAUUUACUGCUUAGCCAUUAUUUUACUAUGCUCAGUGGAUUCUGUUUUGACCUUCUAUAAUUCUUUUCCAUCUUCUUCCUUGCUGUGUGUCGUAUGUAAGAUUCAUGUCUAGGGUUAAGGUUCAUGUCUAAGGUUAAGGUCAA